rnacentral:rRNA from 1 species
GAUGAACGCUGGCGGCGUGCCUAAUACAUGCAAGUCGAGCGAACAGACGAGGAGCUUGCCCCUCUGACGUUAGCGGCGGACGGGUGAGUAACACGUGGAUAACCUACCUAUAAGACUGGGAUAACUUCGGGAAACCGGAGCUAAUACCGGAUAAUAUAUUGAACCGCAUGGUUCAAUAGUGAAAGACGGUUUUGCUGUCACUUAUAGAUGGAUCCGCGCCGCAUUAGCUAGUUGGUAAGGUAACGGCUUACCAAGGCAACGAUGCGUAGCCGACCUGAGAGGGUGAUCGGCCACACUGGAACUGAGACACGGUCCAGACUCCUACGGGAGGCAGCAGUAGGGAAUCUUCCGCAAUGGGUGAAAGCCUGACGGAGCAACGCCGCGUGAGUGAUGAAGGUCUUCGGAUCGUAAAACUCUGUUAUUAGGGAAGAACAAAUGUGUAAGUAACUAUGCACGUCUUGACGGUACCUAAUCAGAAAGCCACGGCUAACUACGUG